AUCAGACAGGGUUUGUUAAGAAUCAGCAGCAACAGACCAACAAGGUGGCGGCUCAUCGUACUAACGGCGAGGGUGCUCAACACAUGAGCUUAGUUGAGCUGCAGAAGGGUCACAGUGUGAAUGGGAAUGGUGGGGCCCACCAGAUGAUGAGGAAUAAUAAUGGGGUGGGGGUGGAUGUGAGGAGAAAUGGUGGUGAUGAUGAUGGGGAGAGUUAUAAGCAGGAGAUGAGGGAUUUGGAGGAAAUGUUGUCGAAAUUGAAUCCUAUGGCUGAGGAGUUUGUGCCGCCUUCGCUUGUUGUUAAUUAUAAGCCAGUGGUGCAGCCGAUUGUUCCCGGGGGUGCUCAUUUUGGAUAUGUCGUUGCUGAUAAUAAU
rnacentral:lncRNA from 1 species